rnacentral:rRNA from 1 species
ACCUUACACACAGUGAUUUUCUUUUCUUUGAAAACAUUGCUUUGGUCUGGCGCAAGUUGGGCCAAAGAUUUAUUAAACUUCAAUAUUUUUAUUGAAUUGUUAUUUUAACCAUAGUCAAUUUGUUGAUUAAAUUCAAAAAUCUUCAAAACUUUCAACAACGGAUCUCUUGGUUCUCGCAUCGAUGAAGAACGCAGCGAAUUGCGAUACGUAAUAUGAAUUGCAGAUUUUCGUGAAUCAUCGAAUCUUUGAACGCACAUUGCGCCCUUUGGUAUUCCAGAGGGCAUGCCUGUUUGAGCGUCAUUUCUCUCUCAAAUCUUCGGAUUUGGUAUUGAGUGAUACUCUUAGUCGGACUAGGCGUUUGCUUGAAAAGUAUUGGCAAGAGUGGUACUGAGAAGUGCUAAACUGUUUCAAUGUAUUAGGUUUAUCCAACUCGUUGAAUCUGAUUAGUAGUGAUCUGUGCUUAGGCUCGGCCUUACAACAACAAACAAAGUUUGACCUCAAAUCAGGUAGGAUUACCCGCUGAACUUAAGCAUAUCA